rnacentral:lncRNA from 1 species
UUGCUUAGGCAAGAAAAGCGGAAAGGAUCCCCACGAAAACUCAGAAACCGGGGGAUCUCGACGCGCAUUUUACUUGACUUAAGCGGCUGGCUUGGCUCCCUCUUUUUUUUCUCUCUCCCUCUCUGCACACUGCCAUGCUGGGUGAAGAACUUUAAGGACCUACUAGGCGGGGUCGGGUUUUGCUUAGGCAAGAAAAGUGGAGAGGAUCCCCACGAAAACUCUGAAACCGGGGGAUCUCGGUGCACAUUUUACAUGACCUAAGCACUGGCUUGGCUCCCUCUUUUUUUUCUCUCUCCCUCUCUAUCGGCUGCCAUGCUGGGUGAAGAACUCUAAGUACCUACUAGGCGGGGGUCAGGUUUUGUUUUCCAUAACUACUUCGACUUAUGUAAUUUACCUUCUCCCUAAAUGCAACCAUAAAUCAAACUAACUAAAUGAAUAAAUUUACACCACAUAAAUCCAUCCUAUGAAGACUACAACGGAGAAAGAUGGGAUAAGGAUAAAGCAUAGGAAGAACAAAUACCCCAUGUUGAGUAAACUCAUAAAAAAUACUUUGUCUUGAGAGUAAUAUAUCCCGAACCAAUUUUCUGCCAGCCAUUAAGAUUUACCCACUGCAACUCUGCACACAAAUAUUUUCUUAUAAACAAUAAUAAACACAAUCUAAUUGGUAUCUUAUGGAUAUAAAAGACAACAUGGAUCCAUAUUGGUAGGAUUUCAAAUUAUUCUACGAACAAAGAAUUUGGAAGGAUUUGUGAUCAACUAAGGAGCUCUCGACUUUCUCCGCUGAAAUUUACCUUCCUUGGGUACUUAUUGACCAGAGACUGGAAGUAGUUGUGCUCUUCGUCCAUAGUAGUCAUCCAACCAGCAAGGGAAAGACCACGACGCGCAGUGGAAUAGGAAAAAGAGCGUCCAGCACAGCUUUCGUGUCACCAGCAAUCCUCUUUCCUUUAUUGGUAGACCGAAAAGGCUUUGUCAAGUAGACAUGAGAAGAAGAUGACGGUCGUGAAUCGACAGUUGAGAAAGUAUUAGAAAUCCGGCGAUUUUGAUUGCGAUUUUGAUUGUCACGUAGAUCGACAGUUGAGAAAUCCGGCGCUGUUAGGGCUAGGAGAAGAAGAUGGCCAUGAAUCGACGAUUUUGAGGAAGACGAAGAAGAUAAGAGAAGGGGAGAGGAGCAGAAAGUAGAGAGAGAGCCGUUAGAGAAAUUUGAAACGUGAGAGAGAAGGGGAGAUGAGGGAAAGGGUUUAUAACUAAAACAAAUUUAAAAUCCAAAACCCAUUUAAAAUCCAAAACCCAUUUAAAAGGUUUAGUUAUAAAGAAGUAGCCGGAUUAGUGAAGAAAAGCCAUUAUUUAUAACUAAACCGAUUU